CAUCUGAUUGAGUUUGAUCAUGGCUCAGAACGAACGCUGGCGGCACGCCUAACACAUGCAAGUCGRACGAAGCRUAAGAGCUUGCUCUUAUGACUGAGUGGCGCACGGGUGAGUAACACGUGGGAAUCUGCCUAUUGGUGGGGAAUAACYUUUGGAAACGAARGCUAAUACCGCAUAAGCCCUGAGGGGGAAAGAUUUAUCGCCAAUAGAUGAGCCCGCGCUAGAUUAGCUAGUUGGUGAGGUAAGAGCUCACCAAGGCUACGAUCUAUAGCUGGUCUGAGAGGAUGGUCAGCCACACUGGGACUGAGACACGGCCCAGACUCCUACGGGAGGCAGCAGUGGGGAAUAUUGGACAAUGGGGGAAACCCUGAUCCAGCGAUGCCGCGUGAGUGAAGAAGGCCUUCGGGUUGU
rnacentral:rRNA from 1 species